rnacentral:rRNA from 1 species
UACGGAGGGGGCUAGCGUUGUUCGGAAUUACUGGGCGUAAAGCGCACGUAGGCGGCUAUUCAAGUCGGGGGUGAAAGCCCGGGGCUCAACCCCGGAACUGCCCUCGAAACUAUGUAGCUAGAAUCUUGGAGAGGCGAGUGGAAUUCCGAGUGUAGAGGUGAAAUUCGUAGAUAUUCGGAAGAACACCAGUGGCGAAGGCGACUCGCUGGACAAGUAUUGACGCUGAGGUGCGAAAGCGUGGGGAGCAAACAGG